rnacentral:lncRNA from 1 species
CUGCUGCUGGAUGUAGGACAACCACUCCUCGUCCAUGUCUUUGCCAUGGAGGUCUAUGCGAGCAAAAUCAGGCCCAUGCUGCUGCAAAGCCUGUGAGACACACGCUUGGCCUUGUGUGUGCUGGUAUUGAGUCGAAUGUUGCACAUUUUGGAGAUGCUUGGCCUAAGAAGAGGAUACAGCACUAUGUUACCGUGCAUGAGGAAGCUUCAGUAUCAAUAUUUGAGCAAGAUCAUGGCUACAUGUGAAGCUGCAGAACCUGCACUGUCAGCACCUACCUGCAGUACCUCCUCCAGCUCACGUAGAGGUUUCCCUCCCACCUGGUCCAACUCUGCUGUGUUCCUGAUAACAGAUCUCCGAAUUUCCCUCCUUGAAGGAAAGAGGGGAGACACCCCUCCUGGUAGCCGGCCAUGGUGGUGCCACCUUCUGCCUAGUUUCAACCUGUGGGGUCUCUGAUGCGGGGCGAAAGGAGAAUGUAAGAUCAGAUUAUUUGUACACAUGCGUUGCCUUGCGCUCGAUUUGGGCAAGCUGGCAAGCAUGUCGAUUUGCUGUGUCAGCUACUACACUUGUGCGUGUACAACUACCAAUGGGAGACGCCAGAUGCCAGGUAGAGGUUCUUCCCUUGUGGCAUUUCUGUCGAUAGGUUUUUGGAGUAUGGAAAGAGGGGAACUUUUCUGCCAUAGUGCUUCCAAGGCUGGUGUU